rnacentral:rRNA from 1 species
UGCAAGUCGAACGAGAGAUGAGGAGCUUGCUCUUCAAAUCGAGUGGCGAAUGGGUGAGUAACGCGUGAGGAACCUGCCUCAAAGAGGGGGACAACAGUUGGAAACGACUGCUAAUACCGCAUAAGCCCACGGCUCGGCAUCGAGCAGAGGGAAAAGGAGCAAUCCGCUUUGAGAUGGCCUCGCGUCCGAUUAGCUAGUUGGUGAGGUAACGGCCCACCAAGGCGACGAUCGGUAGCCGGACUGAGAGGUUGAACGGCCACAUUGGGACUGAGACACGGCCCAGACUCCUACGGGAGGCAGCAGUGGGGAAUAUUGCACAAUGGGGGAAACCCUGAUGCAGCGACGCCGCGUGGAGGAAGAAGGUCUUCGGAUUGUAAACUCCUGUUGUUGAGGAAGAUAAUGACGGUACUCAACAAGGAAGUGACGGCUAACUACGUGCCAGCAGCCGCGGUAAAACGUAGGUCACAAGCGUUGUCCGGAAUUACUGGGUGUAAAGGGAGCGCAGG